rnacentral:lncRNA from 1 species
AGAAAAACAGGUGAUAGAGAAAGAUGAGGAAAUGCCAUGAGGACCUAACAGGGCACCUCAACAGCAGGACAGCAAGCCCAGCACAGCCAUGGCCCUGAGCUCCAGGGCCACCUACCUGGCUGAACUCACCUCAGAGGAGGCUGUGCCUCGCCCAGAUGGCCAGGGAGUGUGGCCUGGCUAAGUCACCAGAAAGAGGAGGGUGGCGUCACCCCUGGUUUAGGAUGUUCACUUCACAGGGGACUGGAUGAGACAUGUCUGUUCACAGAUCCUCUGGGGCCCGGAGGACACUGCAGUUAGAGCUAAGGAAGCAGCAGAGCUCUCCGGGGCACAGCUCUGGGUCAUCCUCAUCCUGUCCUGUCUCCCUCUUUGUUCAACUCCAGACUUCAGCAAUGUUAACAGUCCUCUCCACUCUCACACUGUCUACAACACCUGACCAGUGACAUGUAGGAGGAGUUAGUCUGGAUUGGUUUAUCAAACAUACCCUGUGUGUGUGUGUGUGUGUGUGUACUUGUGAGAUCUUCAAGUGGA